GGUUGUGAGACCAAUCCAGCUGCAACAUCUGUCACCCCAUUGAUCACUCUCUCUGAUCUGGCUGGAUAGGAGAGUACCCACUUCCUCCCUUAUCAUCCCAUAUAUAUCCUUCCCAAAGCUGUGUACUUGGUCAUCAUCUUCGACAUAGCAGGACUGGUCUUACCUCAUGAGUACAGCAGCUGAGUUCCCCAAAUGAACACCCAGAUGGCUCUUAAAGGCCAGAUAUAUAAACAGCAGCAGAUGCCUAUUUAAAGAGCUCCAAAGGGUAGUGCACAAACACACCAUUAAUUGUUU
rnacentral:sRNA from 1 species